CAUCGGACUAAUGAGACAAAGCUGCAGGUUUCAUGUCUGAAUCGAACAAAAGAAGAACAGAAAGGAAAAUGAGGAAGACGUUUGCUUGUGAUGAAUCGAUGAUCAUCACCAUCCCAAUCGGGAGCCUGAAGACCAUUCAGGAGGGUCAGCUGAUGCCGGAGAACUUCCACUGUGUGUUCAGGGACAACUACAAGGUGUUUGCUGUCAGAGGAAAGCCGAAACCACUCGGGGUGAGUUCAACAGCCCAACGCUGUAGGUUAAACUUUAGGCAUGUGCUUUUC